AAAGUUUGGCCAAACACCUCAUUUUUUGGCCAAAAUCACUUUUGGCCAAAAAGAGCACUUUUGGCCAAAAAAAAGCUUGGCCAAACAGGCUAUGAGUGUCAUUUAGUAUUGAUAGAAGUUAGACUGGACUAAUAGCACAUGAAAGAGUGCAGACAUCCCUUUCCAUAUUCAGUUAGCAAGUUUUCUCUCUUAUAUUAACUCUGAGUUAUUUAAUGAAGUUGAGGUAAUGCAAUGGGGCUCGCAUACAUUACGUGGCUUAUGAAUAAUUAGUAUGUGUUUUUAAUCCAUAUUGGGACCAUUGCUUAGUUUGAUGUUUAUACUAUAUCUUACUUGGUGUAUUGUAUUUUUGUGCUUCUGAGCAUUCUUAUAACUCUUACUGACGUUUCUGAUGUUGCUUAUGUUGUACACUUGAUGCGGAGAUGUAGAUUCAUAAUUUGGAACCAAAUCUAAAUGCGUCUUAGCAUAUAUUUUGAUCAUUGGCCUAUUUGGAUCUGUUUUUGACAACUCUAUUGGUUCAUUCCAUUUAUGAGACUGGAUAUACAACACGUCAAAAUUCUUGGCACUAGGAUUUGUAAUGUAGAACAUUCAUUGCCACCUUCUACAGCAAAUUUUGAGAGGCUCUUUUGUACCUUGAAGAGAUUUGUCUUCAGAAAUUUGACAGAGUAUCUCUUCCAAAUUGUUGUAUUGAUGCAUCAUAGCAUAACUCUCUGUCCUUUUCAUGAAUUAUUCUAACAUUGACAGGCUUGUGUUCAGGAAGAUAUCGAAAUCUUAGCAAUGGAAUGGGCCAUUUUUACUCAUGAACUACUCUUUCAGCCUCGUGAUUUUUGGUAGUGGUGAUCUAUUUGACAUCUUUGACCUUUGAUACCAUCAGACUAUAUAUGUUAUUGUCGACAUGUAAACAAUCUUUUUAUAUAUGUGCAUAUGCUGUAAACCGAGAAAAUCAUAAUAAAGAUGGAAAUGAUGUGUAGCCUAGCCAAGAAAAAUAAAUUAUAAAUCAAAAUUGGCAAAUGAAACGUGCUUCUUUCUCAUUGAAGAACAAAGUUUUUCUAGAUGCCUCCAUGAAAAUUUAGAGUUUCCCUAAAAUUGUUAAGUCAGGGGAUGAUGCAUUUCUCUUGUUUAGUUAAUUACUUUUAUCAUUUAAUAGCUUUUUCAUUGACAUUUGAGCGUCAUAAAAUUCUCGGUAAUUAUGCCUCACACAUCAUCCAUGUCUUGAGUAACAUUUUCAUUAGUUUUGGCAUAGGUAUUUGAUAAGCGAAUCUUGUUAUCUCUUUAUUGAAGUUCUUUAUUGAGAUUCUUUCAAUGAUAGCUUGGAAAGAGCUCGCACACAGUAGUACACUAUACAAAUGAAUUUAAACAUUUCAAACCAAACUUCAACUUUUGUUGGAAUUCUUGACAGGUUUAACAAUUAUUUUGGCAUAGACUGCAAGAUUGGCCAGAAUGUUGUCUUCAACAACCUUAAAAGGUUCUUUCUCUUUGCCUUCAUUGAGCUCUUCUUCCUUCACUUCAUAAUUGUUCUUUGUGCGAUACUCAAUCUUAAUCCCGUGAAUGCAUCCUCUACUUAAAAAAGCUUCAAAUGUGGCAUCAUAGGAAAUGGAGAUUCUAGAUCGUCUUCUAGAAUAUGUUCUUCAGUUAAUUAUCACCAAUACGGGUUAAGAGAUGCCAAUCAAUUCAUUAUUUCAAGGACCAACGGGGAAAUUCUUCAUUUUUUAAUCGACUGAAAUUUUACAAGGACAUAUUGUAUGCUCCCACUUAUGCAAUUCUUUGUUUAUUAGAUCGUAAUGCUAUUAAUAGCUAGCAAUUAUUUCAA